UGGGGAAUUUUGGACAAUGGGCGAAAGCCUGAUCCAGCAAUGCCGCGUAUGUGAAGAAGGCCUUCGGGUUGUAAAGCACUUUUGUCCGGAAAGAAAUCCUUGGCUCUAAUACAGUCGGGGGAUGACGGUACCGGAAGAAUAAGCACCGGCUAACUACGUGCCAGCAGCCGCGGUAAUACGUAGGGUGCAAGCGUUAAUCGGAAUUACUGGGCGUAAAGCGUGCGCAGGCGGUUUGCUAAGACCGAUGUGAAAUCCCCGGGCUCAACCUGGGAACUGCAUUGGUGACUGGCAGGCUAGAGUAUGGCAGAGGGGGGUAGAAUUCCACGUGUAGCAGUGAAAUGCGUAGAGAUGUGGAGGAAUACCGAUGGCGAAGGCAGCCCCCUGGGCCAAUACUGACGCUCAUGCACGAAAGCGUGGGGAGCAAACAGGAUUAGAUACCCUGGUAGUCCACGCCCUAAACGAUGUCAACUAGUUGUUGGGGAUUCAUUUCCUUAGUAACGUAGCUAACGCGUGAAGUUGACCGCCUGGGGAGUACGGUCGCAAGAUUAAAACUCAAAGGAAUUGACGGGGUCAUAGCUGUUUCCU
rnacentral:rRNA from 1 species